rnacentral:rRNA from 1 species
UACGAGGGGGGCGAGCGUUGUUCGGAAUUAUUGGGCGUAAAGGGUGCGUAGGCGGUUCCGCAAGUCCUGUGUGAAAUCUUCGGGCUCAACUCGAAGUCUGCACGGGAAACUGCGGGGCUUGAGUGUGGGAGAGGUGAGUGGAAUUCCCGGUGUAGCGGUGAAAUGCGUAGAUAUCGUAAGGAAGACCAGUGGCGAAGGCGAGUCUCUGGACAGCAACUGACGCUGAGGCACGAAGGCCAGGGGAGCAAACGGG